rnacentral:rRNA from 1 species
GACGUAGGGCGCGAGCGUUGUCCGGAUUUAUUGGGCGUAAAGAGCUCGUAGGCGGCUUGUCACGUCGGCUGUGAAAACCUGGGGCUCAACCCCGGGCCUGCAGUGGGUACGGGCAGACUAGAGUGCGGUAGGGGAGAUUGGAAUUCCUGGUGUAGCGGUGGAAUGCGCAGAUAUGCGGAGGAACACCGAUGGCGAAGGCAAUCCCCUGGGCCUGUACUGACGCUCAUGCACGAAAGCGUGGGGAGCAAACAGG